GCACUUCGGCUCCAUAUAAACAAUACAAAUACACCACAAAAGACGUGUGGGAGACAAUUUUCAGCUCAACAAGAUUUGCAAUGGGUUUGACAAGAAAAUAAAGGUGAUAGAGCCAAGAAUGCCUAAACAGUCAGUAGAAUGUCAUCCAACAACUAGCCAAUGUAGGCCAACCACACAACACAAUCCUGUCAAUUCAGAACUGAGUGCAUUAAGAGUUCGUCGUAAAACAUCUGUAAAAUUUAAUUGAUGAACAAUAAAACACAAAUGGACAAUUGAUGGAAAACAAAAAUGGUAUCAUGGAACAGUAAUAAACAUUUUACAUGGCAGAGAUGGUAUAGAU